AGUGAACGCUGGCGGUAGGCCUAACACAUGCAAGUCGAACGGCAGCACAGUAAGAGCUUGCUCUUACGGGUGGCGAGUGGCGGACGGGUGAGGAAUACAUCGGAAUCUACUUUUUCGUGGGGGAUAACGUAGGGAAACUUACGCUAAUACCGCAUACGACCUACGGGUGAAAGCAGGGGAUCUUCGGACCUUGCGCGAUUGAAUGAGCCGAUGUCGGAUUAGCUAGUUGGCGGGGUAAAGGCCCACCAAGGCGACGAUCCGUAGCUGGUCUGAGAGGAUGAUCAGCAACAGGGGAACUGAGCCACGGUCCAGACUCCAACGGGAGGCAGCAGUGGGGAAUAUUGGACAAUGGGCGCAAGCCUGAUCCAGCCAUACGGCGUGGGUGAAGAAGGCCUUCGGAUUGUAAAGCCUUUUUGUGGGGAAAGAAAAGAAGAGGGUUAAUACCCCGCUGUUCUGACGGUACCGAAAGAAUAAGCACCGGCUAACUUCGUG
rnacentral:rRNA from 1 species